GUAGGGACCAAGCGUUGUUCGGAUUUUACUGGGCGUAAAGGGGCGCGUAGGCGGCGUGGUAAGUCACUUGUGAAAUCUCUGAGCUUAACUCAGAACGGCCAAGUGAUACUGCUGUGCUCGAGUGUGGAAGGGGCAAUCGGAAUUCUUGGUGUAGCGGUGAAAUGCGUAGAUAUCAAGAGGAACACCUGAGGUGAAGACGGGUUGCUGGGCCAACACUGACGCUGAGGCGCGAAAGCCAGGGGAGCAAACGGGAUUAGAUACCCCGGUAGUCCUGGCCCUAAACGCUGAAUACUUGGUGUCUGGAGUUUUAAUGCUCCGGGUGCCGUCGCUAACGUUUUUAGUAUUCCGCCUGGGGAGUACGCUCGCAAGAGUG
rnacentral:rRNA from 1 species